UACGUAGGGGGCAAGCGUUGUCCGGAAUCAUUGGGCGUAAAGAGCGUGUAGGCGGCCCGGUAAGUCCGUUCUGAAAGUCCAGGGCUCAACCCUGGGAUGCGGAUGGAUACUGUCGGGCUCGAGUCCGGAAGAGGCGAGUGGAAUUCCCGGUGUAGCGGUGAAAUGCGCAGAUAUCGGGAGGAACACCAAUGGCGAAGGCAGCUCGCUGGGACGUGACUGACGCUGAGACGCGAAAGCGUGGGGAGCAAACAGG
rnacentral:rRNA from 1 species